UUGUGCGUUUAGAGUGUAAACAUGUUGAGAUGUCGCUUGGUUAGGAGGAUUUUCCUGAGACUCGCUCAACCAUUCAGCACAAAUUGUAGUGGAAAAGUUAGAAUAGGAUGUGCGUCUGGAUUUUGGGGAGACACGUCAGUGGCCAGUUAUACUGUGUACCAUAUGCUUCUCCAACCAGUCUUUUUAUGGUGACAACUGCAAACUUUGGCGUGGUUUGUUGGACUUUUUCAGUGGUUCUUGGUCUAUCAAGGUUGGCUGUCCCAGCUUUUAGAGAUGUUUAGUUUUGAGGAAACAAAGAAUGCUGACACAAGUCACCUGUUUAUUGCAACUUGCAAUUACACAAUGCAGAUUCAUUCUCUAGAUGGAUAAUGUUUCUCUAAUGGCAUCAGCAUGUGAACACGACUUCUUUCUGAAGAUGGAGUGUGCAAGGUUUUGACUAGCAUUGUUCCUAUUGUCUCAAGUGUGCAAAAAAGUACAUGUAAAUAUUGUAGUUCGGAGGAUGAUAAGUUUUUGUUUGUAAGUUUUGGUUCAGUUGUAGUAAUAAGACUUGGCACAUAUCAAACAGAUGGAAAAGCACCUACAAUGGCCAAAUUCAUUUCUCAUGUCUCACAUCUUGAUAUGUUUAUGAUAUUGAUGAUAUGUACAUUGUGCUAGUUAGUUGAGCCAAUUAGAAGAGAGUGAGAAAGAGACUGACAUCCUGCACAUAUUUGCCUCAAUCAGCGAUCAUGUGUGACGCCAUUGCCUAGCAGGUUGUUUACGUCACGGCUGGUGGUACUAUCCGUAUGUUUUUCACGUGUCAGUUAACUAUUAAGUACACGUGACAGGGAUAUUUUUUGA